UGUGCCUCUUCUUCAAGGGAAGCAAAAACGACAUAUCAAAAAUGGUCAUAACUUAGGUUUAAAUCAACUCAUCGUCUUAAAAUGUUUACCAUUUCUAAGUUUUGGAACGAUAAUAAUAACUGCAAAGUUUCAUAAUCGUAUCUGGAACCGUUCGACCGUAGUAGCUUCUAGCUGAGAGAGCUAAAAAAGUGACCACAUACGAACACACACAUACAUACACAUACAUACAUACACACACACACACGAACAUUUUUUUUCGGAUCCGGACAUUUUAUUCGUGAUCAACGACCUCGAAAACAUGGAAAAACAUCAAAAUUAUGCAAUCGAAAAUUUUCACCAUUACAAUGCUUUCUCUUCGAGAAAGCAAAAAUAAAAAUAAUAGAAAAAAAUAAAAGUUUUAAUUAGCAACUAAACAAGAAGUUAAAUAUUUAUGUCUAUUCCUAGAAUAAAGUCUGAUAAAACAUCUAUGACAUUUAUGUUCAUGUCUUUGAGAAGAGGAAUUAUUGAGGUAGGUUCGGAUUUAGUUAAUCUUAACAGUUCUUUGAACAUUUUAGUUCUUUGUUUACAUAAUAGUUCACAGCGCCAAAAGACAUGAUCGAUGUCCUCUUUUUCUUUCCCACAUCGGCACAUAUCAGAACUUACAAUGUUGAAUCUGAACAAAUAAUAAUUUAGUGACAUAUGGCCGCUUCUUAUAUGAUUUAACGUAAUUAUUGAUUUCAUUGGCAAAUGAGAAACACAACAUUAAAGCUUUUAAGGUUAAUUAAACACGAUGGCCUUUUUACGCCGAAAACCGGAACGUUAGAGUCUAUACUAAGUUGAAUGUGUUGUAUCAUGUCUAAUUCGGUUCUCCUUGGAGGAAGUUCGUCUAACAAGACAUAUUUCACACAACCGCCACGAAGAGUUGGUACAUACACACCUGGAUGCAAGCACCACGAACAACCGAAGUAACCAUUGUACUGAACAAUGCCCUGCAUGGGAGCUCGGGCACCGGAAUCGACACAACAGCAUAAUGAACACAUUCAUAUCUGGCUUGACUUUACCGAACCACAAACCACAAGUCACUGUUUUUGAAGUUCUAACAUUAUAAGGAAGUUCAUUGAUAAUCAUUUGGACAGGCCAAAUUGAAUACUGAGAGCUUUCAAAAACAGGAGCUCCGUCACUGUUGAAUGUGGCUGUAACAAAGUUCUUUCUUUCGUUAGGUGAAUAAACAUGCUCCCAGUUUUGAAAAAUCAAGUUGCUGCAAUCAUUUGCCACAUCGAAAACUACAAAAAAAUUGUUAUAGCAAGGACUUUUCAAAUAUAUAACCUUCCGACAAACGUGACACAACAUUUCCCGAUCCUGUCUAUUAAACUGACCAACAUAACUGUAACAAUUUAUAUCCGGGCAAACAGCAUGGUAUUCAACACCUUUAGAUGAAUUGAAAAUUUUAUCGACAAGGUAUCUACUUUCCGGUAAAAGUUUCGUCUGUAAUAUACUAUUGACGUAUUUUAAUAGAUCGGCUAAACCAGUCUGACACAACUCAUUUUUAAACCCAAAUUUUAAACCUCCUAACAUCAAUUCAGCCUUAUUUACGGUCACUGUUAACGUCACGUUCUCAUCGCUACAUAAAAUGUUACGCAGUCUUGCAAACGGUUCUUCUUCUUCAGUUUCUGUAUCGCCGUUGUGUUCUUCAUUUCUAUAUUCUCUAUACAUUCUAUCCUCUUCUUCGGAAUCAUCGUCUUCAGUUUCUAAAUUUGAAUCGUCUGUUCCAGUUUCACUCUAAUGAAGAGAAUAAAUGUUUUAUCAUUCGGUGUAAAAGUAAUUUGAUACAGUACAUAGAAAGUAUAUUCCGCCAAGUCGUAAACUUUUGCGUACCCAAACCAGGGCAAAAAUGUCUUUGCUAGAGCACCCUGAAUUUUUUUUUCUUUUCAUUUGUCAGAAAUAGAAAUGAAACAUAUUCGUAAAAAUUAUAAAAGUUCGCAUGAACAAUAUUUUUUCAGCAUUUUCCAUUUUUUUAUUCGAAUUUUUUUUAAACUGCUCGAAAAUUGUUCUUAUUUCAAAUGCUUACUUUUCUACUUCCAAGAUUGCUGGAACUUUUUUUUUAGAAAAGAUUUUGUUGAAAAAAUAUCAAUCCCGCCAAAAUAUAUCAUCAAGUUACUAAAAAUUAGAAUGACUUUAUUUGCGAAAUAAGUUGAUUAUCAUAUAAAAGUACCGAAAAAAGUGAAUAUAAAGUUUUCUCAUGUUCGUGAGUAUUUUUGAUCUCUAUAUACCCUAAAUAAAAGAGGAAAAACUUCCGGGAGGCCUAGCAAAGAAAAAAUUUUUGCGUCGAUUUUGGGUCCGCAAAAAAUGUAAUUUUUCCAUAGAUUUACUCAUAUACUCUCUGACAGACAGAAACACAGCAAGGUAUCAAAAAUUAAUGUUUUUAUAUUCACGUAAAAAAAAUUACAGGUAGUUUUACCUCUUGUGGUAAUUCUUGAUUUACAACAUCCAUGUUUUCACUGUCGGUAAUUGAUCCAUUACGAGAAUCAGAUGACGGAGCGUUGUUGGAUGUUGAUGUUGAGUAGGUUGAGGUUGAAACUUGACCACUAUGAUGAGUAAUUGUAGAUUCUCCAGACGUAGAUGUGUUUGAAAACCGAGCUGGUGUACGAUUAUAUUCCUAUACGUAUUAAAUCAAUUGAUAAGUUUUUAAAAGUUUCUGUAUGAUGAUUAUAACUGUUUGAUGAAAAUUGUUCAUUGAUAUUCGCCUGGAUAUCCACCUAGGAAUCAAUAAAUGAUUCAAGCCUUUAUUUACACAGCGUUUUUGCAAGCAAAUAGGAAUAUCCAGGUAGAAAUCAAUGAACGCUUGCAAUCGAAAAAAAAAAUCAUUUUAAGUUGUUCCUUGCAAUGUUGCAAGAAAAACAAUCGAAUCAAUGAUCUUCUUAAAUAAAUUACAGUCCACUACAACCAUUUCUAUUGCAUUCAUCACCACAACUAUUUAUAAUUCUAUUUUCAUUUCUCAUCAAGCCCCAUGUUAACUUUUCAUUGGAAUGGAUAGACGUGAAUAAACCUCGUUUAUUCCCAGUCUUCAAAUUAAAAUCCAAAUCCACAUCUUCAUGUUUUUCACAAAAGUAUCUUCCACAGUAAAACUAAUCAUUACUAUUAUUAAAACAUUCUAGUUUAAGUGUGUAAAAAAAACUUUUUAAAAUCCCUUAUUGCAAGUUAUAACCGGGUAGUAUGCAUCGAAAUUUUAUGAAAAUUUGGAGCAAAAUCUUUUUGAAAUACAUGAAUUCAUGAAAAUAUUCAAUACUCACCCUAAACAACCUAUCCUCAUCUUCAUUACUACUAGGUUCAUAAUUUUGAGCACGCAAUCUUUUGUUGUGUCGCCAUUCUGUGGUUCUGGAUCUUCUCAUUUUGAACUUAUAAUUAUCCUGAUACACGUACGUCUGGAUAAUACGUCAGAUGAAAUUAUGAUAUCUGUAAAAUUCAAAACGAAACAUCUCUUUAAAUCAAACGUCUAUAGGCAGCCAAUGAUCAUCGAAAAUCUAAAUGCUCGAUACUUUAUUUACCUGUUAGAUGAUGCAACUUCCCACUUGAUUUUUCCGUGCCGGCUGGCUCAAUGGUCACUCACCGUUUGUUACUGAUGUGACAGUUUAUAAAUAUUUCAUACUAAUGGAAAUUGAUAUGAUCGAUACUUUUCUCUCCUUGUAGCGAAAAAUAUCAUUUGUCACGUUAAUGUUAUAAGGCCAUCCGCUCAGAGAGUUGUUGAUUUUGCGUUUGAUUUUUCGGCAGUUGCGCAACCUAGCCUAACCCACUCGACAUAGCUGACGCGAUCCGGCAACGUGAACACUGAUCCAGCUAUACAAGACAUUCAAAUUCUUGUCUGCAUCGAUUUUUUUUUAACAAGCGCGCACUGAGUCAGAAUGUUUGAAUAAAUCAAAAUAUAACAUUAAUAUCGAAUAGGAAUAGAAGGUUAUGCGGGUACGAACGAUAAAUUAAU